rnacentral:rRNA from 1 species
UACGGGGGGGGCAAGCGUUGUUCGGAAUUACUGGGCGUAAAGGGCUCGUAGGUGGCCAACUAAGUCAGACGUGAAAUCCCUCGGCUUAACCGGGGAACUGCGUCUGAUACUGGAUGGCUUGAGUUCGGGAGAGGGAUGCGGAAUUCCAGGUGUAGCGGUGAAAUGCGCAGAUAUCAGGAGGAACACCAACGGCGAAGGCAGCACUCUGGGCGGGAACUGACGCUGAGGAGCGAAAGCGUGGGUAGCGAACAGG